rnacentral:lncRNA from 1 species
AAAAAUCAGCACAUCCAACCUUGGUAAUAUGUUAUAACAACACACACUGUAACAUUAAUUGCAAUGCAACCUGAUACACCGAGUAGUUAUAUUCUUUCAUGCAUGUUCGUGCAACGAAAACGAGUUUAUAAUUAUGCAAUAAAUGUCAAUUGUUAUGUUGACCGGGACCACUCGAACAGUCAUAUACGUUAUAAAUACAUUUU